rnacentral:rRNA from 1 species
UACGUAGGGGGCAAGCGUUAUCCGGAUUUACUGGGUGUAAAGGGAGCGUAGACGGCGAGACAAGUCUGAAGUGAAAUGCCAGUGCUCAACACUGGAACUGCUUUGGAAACUGCCUGGCUGGAGUGCGGGAGAGGUAAGUGGAAUUCCUAGUGUAGCGGUGAAAUGCGUAGAUAUUAGGAGGAACACCAGUGGCGAAGGCGGCUUACUGGACCGUAACUGACGUUGAGGCUCGAAGGCGUGGGGAGCAAACAGG